rnacentral:rRNA from 1 species
AACCGGGGGAACUGAAACAUCUAAGUACCCCGAGGAAAAGAAAUCAACCGAGAUUCCCCCAGUAGCGGCGAGCGAACGGGGAGCAGCCCAGAGCCUGAAUCAGUGUGUGUGUUAGUGGAAGCGUCUGGAAAGGCGUGCGAUACAGGGUGACAGCCCCGUACACAAAAAUGCACAUAUUGUGAGCUCGAUGAGUAGGGCGGGACACGUGGUAUCCUGUCUGAAUAUGGGGGGACCAUCCUCCAAGGCUAAAUACUCCUGACUGACCGAUAGUGAACCAGUACCGUGAGGGAAAGGCGAAAAGAACCCCGGCGAGGGGAGUGAAAAAGAACCUGAAACCGUGUACGUACAAGCAGUGGGAGCACGCUUAGGCGUGUGACUGCGUACCUUUUGUAUAAUGGGUCAGCGACUUAUAUUCUGUAGCAAGGUUAACCGAAUAGGGGAGCCGA